CAGUAUGCGUAUAAAUCUAUUAAUAUUGAACUGCCUUCGUUGAGCAACCACCAGUUACCAAAACUCAGUAUGCGCAAGAUAAUGCGCGGACGGACAAAGUAAUUGUCAAAUCUCAUGAAAAUGAAAACAUAUAUUAUCAUUUACAGUCUGUGCCAAUGUAUAGGUUGUACUAAUAAUAAGAAAGCUGCGGUUUGAUAGAGAUACAACUAUACCUGAAAAAUACAAGGAGAACGUUUCGAGCCCCUUUGUCGCUAUACUACUUCCCGACGAAGAGCCUUCGCUCAAAACGUUCUGGUAUUUUUUAGGUAGUCGUAUCUCUAUCAAACUUCGAUGAUACAAAUUUAACAACUAGUGGUAUAUCUGCCGAAGUUGUUCAAAGUCAAUUGAAUGAGGAUCUAGACAAAGUUCACUGGUGGUUGCUUGCCAAUAAAUUAACUCUAAAUA